rfam:Picea glauca, whole genome shotgun sequence.
AUGUAAAUGCCUACAACAUAGUGUUGAUGCAAUGGAUCCCAUUAGAACUCCGCAGUUAAGCGUGCUUAGGAUAGAGUAGUACUGGGAUGGGUGACCACCUGGGAAGUCUUAUUGUUUUACAUG